UACGGAGGGGGCUAGCGUUGUUCGGAAUUACUGGGCGUAAAGCGCACGUAGGCGGCUUUGUAAGUUAGAGGUGAAAGCCCAGGGCUUAACCCUGGAAUUGCCUUUAAGACUGCAUCGCUAGAAUUGUGGAGAGGUAAGUGGAAUUCCGAGUGUAGAGGUGAAAUUCGUAGAUAUUCGGAGGAACACCAGUGGCGAAGGCGACUUACUGGACACAUAUUGACGCUGAGGUGCGAAAGCGUGGGGAGCAAACAGG
rnacentral:rRNA from 1 species